UUUAGAACCCAUGUAAAGAAUGUUAUAUUUAGCUCACAAGCAGGUGUUUAGUUAUUGUGGUGUGUUGGGUUAUUAGACCAAAAAUAAGACCUGGUUUGUUCUAGAUCUUGGAAACUGUCAUGGAAAAAUAACAUGGAAAUGAAGUAAGGCCUUUCCUUUGUUUUUCUCCAUCUUUUCCUGCACUUAACAUUGAAGCAUCAUGGAUACAGCAGCGUUUGCUAGAUGACUCAAUUUGUAAUAGCGCCAAAGCUGAAUUCUUGAUUUAUGAACAGUCGGGGAUCUACAAGAGGCUAUUAAAUAUAGGGAACGAGGAGGAGUGAGGUGUAUGAAUGUAAAUUAAAAUCCAGGAUUUUCCUGUGCAAAGAUGCUUUUUUUUGUAUGAGAAGUAUUUGAAGUUUAUACCAUAAAUGGAUGAUUACAAAGUCUUUUUUUUUUUUUUUUUUUGUAUAAAAUUUCCAGUGUGACCAUCUUGCAGUACAGUCAAAGUGUAUUGAUGGUGACAGCAUAAAUUAAGACAAUCAUUCAUGCAGCACCCGGUAUGUAAAUGUCUGCUGUGUGUGUGUGUGUGUGUGUGUGUGUGUGUGUGUGUACACUGAUUAUAUAAGUGUGUGAGUCAAAGUGAAUGAAAGGCAGGCUUAUGCUGGUGGGGAACAGUGUGUGUGUUUAUGAAAUACAUCCAAGCUCAACCUGAGUUUGUUGAUUCAACUUCGCGAGUUUGGACAGAGACAUUUCACAGAGCAUAAUUCUGCUUUGCAAAGCCACCAAAACUCAGCGAGGCAUACUUUCAGGGCCCUGAAAGUUCCACAACGUCAAACACGCUGAUCCAAGCAUUUCCAUCUCAACAAUGGUUGUAGUAAUUUAAAUGAUCUGACAGGUACAUCCUCUCUCUUGACAGACGCAAGUUAUUACAAAGAGUUUGUGAUUCACAUAUGGGCUGAGCUGAGACUAUACCAAGUACAGAAGCACAAUCCUUCAUUCACUUAUUCCCUUGGAUAUAUACUUUUAGACCCAAUUUAAAUCUGGUGUUUGUAAGGGGACAUACGAUAAAACAGAUGCUUAAACAAACAGCUGCUUCUUGGUUUUCACCAGCUGCUUAAUACAAAUGCCAUAAUGGCCUAAGC
ensembl:lncRNA